GACGAACGCUGGCGGCGUGCCUAAUACAUGCAAGUAGAACGCUGAAGGAGGAGCUUGCUUCUCUGGAUGAGUUGCGAACGGGUGAGUAACGCGUAGGUAACCUGCCUGGUAGCGGGGGAUAACUAUUGGAAACGAUAGCUAAUACCGCAUAAGAGUAGAUGUUGCAUGACAUUUGCUUAAAAGGUGCAAUUGCAUCACUACCAGAUGGACCUGCGUUGUAUUAGCUAGUUGGUGGGGUAACGGCUCACCAAGGCGACGAUACAUAGCCGACCUGAGAGGGUGAUCGGACACACUGGGACUGAGACACGGCCCAGACUCCUACGGGAGGCAGCAGUAGGGAAUCUUCGGCAAUGGACGGAAGUCUGACCGAGCAACGCCGCGUGAGUGAAGAAGGUUUUCGGAUCGUAAAGCUCUGUUGUAAGAGAAGAACGAGUGUGAGAGUGGAAAGUUCACACUGUGACGGUAUCUUACCAGAAAGGGACGGCUAACUACGUG
rnacentral:rRNA from 1 species